UAUGUGACGUCUCUCGCAUAUCAAUAAGCGGAGGAAAAGAAACUAACAAGGAUUCCCCUAGUAACGGCGAGUGAAGCGGGAAGAGCUCAAAUUUGAAAUCUUAAAGGGUUUCCCUUUACGAAUUGUAGUUUAAAGAAGUGUUUUCUGUUGAGGUUUUGGUAAAAGUUCUUUGGAAUAGGACAUCAUAGAGGGUGAGAAUCCCGUAUUUGACCUUUACUUUCAACUUUGUGAUACACUUUCAAAGAGUCGGAUUGUUUGGGAAUGCAGUCCAAAAUGGGUGGUAAAUUUCAUCUAAAGCUAAAUAUUGGCGAGAGACCGAUAGCGAACAAGUACCGUGAGGGAAAGAUGAAAAGAACUUUGAAAAGAGAGUUAAACAGUACGUGAAAUUGUCAAAAGGGAAGCGUUUGACACCAGUGCUGUUUUUCUGAAGAUCAAUUAAAGAACUGUUUAUGCUAAGCUGUUUAGACUUUAUCAGCUAUCUGUUUAGUUUUGAGCUUUUCUUUAAUGCACUUUUCAGUUAACAAGUCAACAUCAAUUUCUUUUGCUGUAAAAAAGCUUGAGGAAGGUGGCUUGAGAUUCGUCUUAAGUGUUUAUAGCCUCUUGCCUAUGCAGUCGGAGAGAUUGAGGUCUGCAGCGUAGAUCCUUCGGGGCUAAAUGCAUUUGUGCUAAGUUAUAGCAUUUUAUAGACAACUUGUUGACUAUGAUUUGUCUUGUAGCUUACUCGCUUAUGUUAUUUUACCUACGCUUAGGAUGUUGAGCGCAUGUCUCUCUCU
rnacentral:rRNA from 1 species